UCAUGCACUCGACUAGUCUGACAGAAGCCACGUAGAAAGUUGCAGAGAUUUGAAUCUUUCUGAAAAUCUCCCUAAUAGCUUUGCCCUUUCCCAACUUUUCAGGUGCUGAGGGGAAGCUGGCAGCAAGGACUUCGUAAGUGUUUUUGUUUUAUAUUUCCACCCUCACUUGAGUGUGAUGCCCAUUAACACCACUUUUGUUCCUGCAGCACGGUUCCACAGAUGAGUGGAAUUCCCAAGGAAGAACUACCAGCACAAGUUUCCGGGGCCGAGGAAGACCGGCUGCCCAUUCCAGAAGAGCAGGCAGCGCCGGAUGAGCCAGAGCAGGUUCCUGCGGCAAACAUGUAGGCAGCUAUGGGAGCCCAUCAGUUCCAGUUUUCGGCAUUCGGCAGCUGGUGCAUCUCAGCCAGGAUCGGCUGUACGACCCAGUCGUCAUCGAAGUCAACCAGCAAGAAGAGGGCACCCCGCCAAUCGGUCGACAGCCCAGCUCCUGAGCAACCACCAUUUAAGCAGCCCUGCGAACAGCACCACUGCUGUGUCAACAUUUCUUUUUUUGUUUUUAAAUUUUAUUUAAUAAUACCUCAAAUACCCCAGGUAUGGGGUCUUACAUGAGGCAUGGGCAAUUAUUUAAUUGAGACAACAUUGUCUUUGCACGUGUACUGACAGGGCAGCCCUGUCCCCUCUUGACACAUUUGGUGACAAACCAAUAUCUUCAGAUAUUUUGUGUUACUAUUUCCUGCAUCAACUAAAAGGGAAACGCAAAGCCAUCUCUGUAUUUCUGUUGUUUUAUUGUUUGUUCGCUUUUUUGUUUUUUCCUGUGGUCACCUGAUAAGCCUUAUUUAUUUAUUCAUUCAUUUUUUUUAAAUGCUUAGUGGCCUCGUAAGUUGAACGAAGCAUUAGGUGGGUGCAUAAUAAAUAGAAAUAAAUGGAAAUAGAGCAGCAUUCACAUAAGCAACAUAAUUGAACACCAUUAGAAAAUAGCCCACAGAAAAAAAGAACCGCUAGACAUAGGAGACAAAAGAUAACAAAAACCAGAAACACAAGAAUAGGACAGAAAAAGCAUGAAUACAAGGAAACAGCAUAGUACUAAUGUGUGAAAGUCAAAAAGAAAGACAUAACUGUGUUGUUUCACGCUGCCAUGCAGAGAAAUUCUGAGAAUGUGAGCUGGUUUGUUUAAGCUCGUAUUUACUUCGAACUUAAUGCUACAUGGCCUAGCCAAUGAUGCAACGUUCGUCAAACUGUGUUCCCUGUUACCUGUGAGGAAAUGCUUCAUUAAGGAGGAACUGUAACCAUCUGGGUGGGCAAAUGCUAAAGUGCCCAGUAGAUUUGUGCACGGCACAAGAGCUGUGCACAGCACAAGCUUGUUCCUGUCUGCACUCCAGAUAUUUCUUAUGGUUCUUUCAUUUCAGAGUGGCUAUCUGUUCCUUCAUCGCAUUCUUGUUCAUGAAAAUAGCCAGUCUGUUUUGUCAUAGCAAUAGUGACACCAGAUAUGUCCUCAUCAUAUUAUUUCCUUGAUAGUUCUCAGUGGACAAAUCUCCUUGACGGGCUUGAAAACUGUCUUGUUGUUUAUUCACAUUGUUCGUUUUCUUUCUUUUCCAUAAUGUUCUUUAGACUUGUUCGGUCCUUUUUAUUUGAACUUGCUUGUUAUAACUACCUGUGAUAUUACACACUGGAGCUACUCAUGUGGACUUGCCUCAACAUGGGACCCACCUGCCAUAUUUGCAGAGCUUCAAGCCAUGAAACUUUCUUUUAUUUUUAUUUUAUUUAAUAAAGAAAUACUA